rnacentral:tRNA from 1 species
GGCAAAGUAGCCUAGUGGUAGAGUGCUGGACUCUCAAUCGGGAGGUCGCGGGUUCGAACCCCACCGCGGGCA